AUAUCUCAACCAUGCGCGAAAGCGGUACGGCGUUAUAACUAAACCCUCGCUGUUUUCUGUCUGAUUAGGAGCUCUGUGCUUCCAACCGUCUUCGGACAAUAUUUGAUA
rnacentral:misc_RNA from 1 species